rnacentral:lncRNA from 1 species
GCUUUUCUCGUAUCGACGCCUCUUAUAGGCGUCUAUUCCUUGUAGCCGACAUUCCCAAGAGAUGGGAAUCUCUGUAUAAAUAUCUUUGAUGAUGAUCAAUGAAGGAAGAGUUCAUUCCAUUCCUUUUCAUUUCUUACACGUUAUAAACACGCUCACGGCGGAGCAAACUCGAUACAGAGACGAAGAAUUCAGAGCAGGACAAGAAGGUAAGAGAACAAUGCUUUACCGCAUCAAAUUUUCUUCACCACUUCGCGGUGGCGAUGUCGCCGGCAGCAACGGCUUCAAAUCACGCCAUCUUCGGCAAUGCCUCCAAAGCCACCAAUGUGGUUCACCGGUGCAG